rnacentral:tRNA from 1 species
GAGGGUAUAGCUCAAGUGGUAGAGCGCAUGCUUAACAUGCAUGAGGUCCUGGGUUCAAUCCCCGGCACCUCCU